rnacentral:misc_RNA from 1 species
AACUGAUACUACCUGCGGGAACCUGCGGAAGGAUCAUUAUUGAAUGAAAUUGGUUAGAUUGUUGCUGGCUCUUAGGAGCAAGUGCACGUCUACCGCCACUUUCACCACCUGUGCACUUUUUGUAGACUUGAGUUUGAUCGAGGGUCAUAUCUCGGAUUGGGGACGUGCCAUUAUUGUAUGGCUGUCCUUGAAACUCUUGGUCUAUGUUUUUAUAUACCCCUACAAAUGUAACAGAAUGUU